CUGAGAAUUGUUUUUAGGGAAAGGUAAAGGAAACAUGAACAGAUGUGGCUGGAGGCAGCCCCUCUGCACUUUGCUGAGCCACAGAGCCCAGGUUUCUGCCCCACCUGGGAUCCUGCAUGUCCCCAUUGCCUUGGUGUCCCCUCUGCAGCUCUGUGAAGACCCAGGAGAGGCAGCAGCCAUGAAGAUCCUGUUCCUGCUCUUCCCCCUGCUCCUUCUGCUGGUCCAGGGUGCUGCAGGAAGUGAACUUCAAUGCAAACAAAGAAGAGGGUACUGUUCUUUUGGGAGAUGUGUCCCCCCUGCAAGGCCUAUUGGUAGAUGUACAGGACAAACCAUCUGCUGCAGAGGACUCUGGGGAUGAGACCCUGAAAUUCCCAAGAAGGACAUCCACUCACUUCUGGCUGCUGGACCCAUCUGCUGAUGUCUCCCCCUCCUGAUGUCCCCUGCCCUCCCUGGCUCUGUGGUGCCCAGCUGGGCUGACAGCAGCAGUGGCAGCUGCUCCUGCUGGGUGCUGCUGGGCUGCAGCCCUGUGGUGCCAGCCCCGGUGUCUUUGGGCCAGGGGCUGCUUUUCCCGGCUUGAAUAAAGACGAGCACUUUGGCAUUGCA